rnacentral:lncRNA from 1 species
CACCAUGUUAAUCGCUAGAUUUAGCCUACAACGUAACUGUGACUAGCAACAGAAUUGUUUUCCCCUCAUUUUGACGUGGCAGUGGAAUCUGAAUAGCAGAUGUGGCUUAAGUUAAUAUAAUUAUUUGAAGAAAAGACGUAGGAAAUGUUAGAUUUUCUUAUCUGCCUAUUUCACCCAACACCAAGAGCUAUGAUCCAAGAGUAGUUGACGUACAUAAUGUUACGUAGGUUAGGCUACUAUAGCCACCUCCCUCCAGCUAUAAAAAAACAAUUCACAGAUAGUGUUUUUACAAGUACGAUUUCACGUAAAACGCGGAUGAAAUUAUGAAUCUGGGAUAUAAUAUUGUGUUCUUUAUAUCUGUUGCCAUACACGUCUCAGCUGAAGCUUCAUCAACAUGUGGUGUGCCGCCGUCCUAUCCACACACUAAAGUCGCGGAUAAAUACAUUCAACUAAACAAAUACAACCAUGAAGAAAAAGUCAUUUAUAGAUGCGCAGAGAGCUACACUGAGUCCAGAGGCAUUCGUUCCAUCAUGUGUGACAAUGGGAAAUGGACACGGUUAAAACUGAAGUGUGAAAAUGCGACC